rnacentral:rRNA from 1 species
UACACUCCUGCGGGAGGCAGCAGUGGGGAAUUUUACGCAAUGGGGGAAACCCUGACGUAGCGACACCGCGUGAGCGAAGAAGCCCUUUGGGGUGUAAAGCUCUGUCAGCUGGAACGAAAACAAUGACGGUACCAGCAGAGGAAGCAUCGGCUAACUACGUGCCAGCAGCCGCGGUAAGACGUAGGAUGCGAGCGUUGUCCGGAUUUAUUGGGCGUAAAGAGUUCGUAGGUGGUUUGUUAAGUUUGGUGUUAAAGAUCGGGGCUCAACCCUGGGACUGCACUGAAUACUGGCAGACUCGAGUGUGGUAGAGGCUAGUGGAAUUCCCAGUGUAGCGGUGAAAUGCGUAGAUAUUGGGAAGAACACCGGUGGCGUAGGCGACUAGCUGGGCCAUAACUGACGCUGAGGAACGAAAGCCAGGGGAGCGAAUGGGAUUAGAAACCCCGGUAGUCCCAUGAU